rnacentral:lncRNA from 1 species
CUCAAAGCUAUUGGUUUAAAAUCUCUACAACACAUCAAUAAAGUAAAGUACAUUAAGUAUUGCAACGGAAACAACUCAAGUGGAUUACAUGUAUGAUGACAUGAAAUCCUGAGCCUAAUUUAAUACAUUAACAACAAGACUUUGCUCUGCUCGCUUCCAUCCGCAUCAUAGCUUAACCUGCAUAUUUAGAAACAUACGCAGGGCUGAGUACCAAAAAGCACUCAGUGGUCAUGCCGAAAUAACUUUAAAGCUUGCUCUUAGAGCUAUAUAUUGAACUUGCCAUCUCAAGCAUCACACAGGAGUUUUACUUAAAUAACAUGUGCACGCAAAAACUGUAAAACUUCUCCAUAAUCAUCAUAACAUCAUAUACGUCUGCAGACAUUAACAUGUAUGUACCAUAUCUACGCAUCAUAUAACUCUGAGUGUUGAGAAGUAGGUCUCCUUCUCAAACACGAUGACAAGCUAACUCAAAGGUUAACUGUCAACUCUGUGUACACAAAUCCUGACUCGCUCAGGACCCGAAUUCGUUCUUCUAUGUAGAUGGUAUCAUACAAAUCUCAAACAUUGGCAAGUCAAUAAUUGGAAAAUAAAUGCAUACACUCAAUCUUUAUAUAAUAAAGUAUGCAUCUUCACUUCUUGAGUUAGUAAGCCCACCUGAUACGCUUAAUGAAAUAGAAAUCCUUGCUUGUUCAUUCUACACUGCCACUCG